rfam:Lactobacillus acetotolerans DNA, complete genome, strain: NBRC 13120.
AGAUCCUUUAAAAUUAGUCCCGUGAGGCUAGUAAGGUAACUUCCAUUAAAGUUAAGUUUAACUUUACAAGGUGCUCCUAGUCUGAUUACAGACUGGGAGCUCUUUCAU